rnacentral:rRNA from 1 species
CAAUGGAUCUCUUGGCUCUGGCAUCGAUGAAGAACGCAGCGAAAUGCGAUAAGUAGUGUGAAUUGCAGAAUUCAGUGAAUCAUCGAAUCUUUGAACGCACAUUGCGCCCCUCGGUAUUCCGUGGGGCAUGCCUGUUCGAGCGUCAUCUACACCCUCAA